AAAUCCCGACUUCGGAAGGGAUGUAUUUAUUAGAUUAAAAACCAAUGCCCUUCGGGGCUCUCUGGUGAUUCAUGAUAACUUCUCGAAUCGCAUGGCCUUGCGCCGGCGAUGGUUCAUUCAAAUUUCUUCCCUAUCAACUUUCGAUGUUUGGGUAUUGGCCAAACAUGGUUGCAACGGGUAACGGAGGGUUAGGGCUCGACCCCGGAGAAGGAGCCUGAGAAACGGCUACUACAUCCAAGGAAGGCAGCAGGCGCGCAAAUUACCCAAUCCCGACUCGGGGAGGUAGUGACAAUAAAUACUGAUACAGGGUUCUUUUGGAUCUUGUAAUUGGAAUGAGUACAAUUUAAAUCCCUUAACGAGGAACAAUUGGAGGGCAAGUCUGGUGCCAGCAGCCGCGGUAAUUCCAGCUCCAAUAGCGUAUAUUAAAGUUGUUGUGGUUAAAAAGCUCGUAGUUGAACCUUGGGCCUGGCUGGCCGGUCCGCCUCACCGCGUGUACUGGUCCGGCCGGGCCUUUCCCUCUGUGGAACCCUAUGCCCUUCACUGGGUGUAGCGGGGAAACAGGACUUUUACUUUGAAAAAAUUAGAGUGCUCCAGGCAGGCCUUUGCUCGAAUACAUUAGCAUGGAAUAAUAAAAUAGGACGUGUGGUUCUAUUUUGUUGGUUUCUAGGACCGCCGUAAUGAUUAAUAGGGACAGUCGGGGGCAUCAGUAUUCAAUUGUCAGAGGUGAAAUUCUUGGAUUUAUUGAAGACUAACUACUGCGAAAGCAUUUGCCAAGGAUGUUUUCAUUAAUCAGGAACGAAAGUUAGGGGAUCGAAGACGAUCAGAUACCGUCGUAGUCUUAACCAUAAACUAUGCCGACUAGGGAUCGGACGAUGUUAAAAAUUGACUCGUUCGGCACCUUACGAGAAAUCAAAGUGC
rnacentral:rRNA from 1 species